rnacentral:misc_RNA from 1 species
GAAAAAAGGGAAUUGUUAGAGUUACUUAAUGUGAUUUUGGAAUUGAGUGAUAGACUGAGGUUUGUGAAGGAGGAGAUUAAGGUAGGAAGAGUUGAACAAGCGGCUGAAGCCUUAAGGGAGUUAAAGGCAGUGUUGGUUACGAGUAAUGAUGAGGAAAAACAGCCUUUGGUUUACGGAUUGUUGAAGGAUGAAUGGACUGAGUGUUUUGAGGAGAUGCAAGAGGUGCUUUUGCAAUGUAUGGACAGUGCAGUGUGGUUUGAGCAAGAAACCAAUACAGUUCACCUGAAGUAUCAGUUGAGCAUCCGAGGUGUUGAUGGGAUUGAGCUCCAUACAAUUUUAAAAGCGAUGAAUGCAGUUGGUAUUAUGGAUUAUGGGCUGGCAAAAGUAGCAGAUUUGAUGAUUAAACAUGUAAUAAUGCCAGUGGUGAGUUUUAGGUCAACUGUUGUGGUGGAAUGGAUUAAUCAGGAGUCUGGAAAUGGUGUCAAGGCAAAUCUGAAGAUACU